GAUGAACGCUGGCGGCGUGCUUAAUACAUGCAAGUCGAGCGGACGGGCGCGAUGCUUGCUGUUGGGAUGUUAGCGGCGGCCGAGGGGGUAGCAAGAGGAUAGCCUCCUGAUAAGUCCUGGAGAAUUACGGGAAACCAGAGCGAAUACCAGGUAAUAUUUUGGACCGGUUGGUUCAAAGGUGAGAGACGGUCUUUGUUUCACUUAUAGAUGGAUCCGCGGCGCAUUAGCUAGUUGGUAAGGUAAUGGCUUACCAAGGCAACGAUGCAUAGCCGACCUGAGAGGGGGAUCGACCGCACUGGAGCGGAGACGAGGUCCAGACGCCUACGGGAGGCAGCAGUAGGGAAUAUUCCGGCACGGGCGACAGCCGGACGGAGCAACGCCGCGUGAUUGAUGAAGGUCUUCGGAUCGUAAAACUCUGUUAUUAGGGGUGAACAUAUGUGUACGUAACUGUGCACAUCUUGACGGUACCUAAACAAGAAGCGCCGGCUAACUACGUG
rnacentral:rRNA from 1 species